CGAAGAGCCAGUGGAGGAGGAAGAAGCCGAGUGGGAGGGGAGAUGGUGGACUCUACCAGCCCUCGCGUCCCGGUCGUCGGUUGGCUCGUGUCUUUGACGGUGUGCGUGUGAGAGCUCUCUGCCACAGCCACAACCGGAAGACCCGAGUCUGUUGGACAACAACAAGGAAGCAGAUGGCCUAGGUUUAGUGACAUCUACUGGCAUUUGGAAGGAAAAUCCCUUUUGGUUUGUUUUUUGUGACUUUUCUGCAAGGUUGAUGAUAAUAGUCACAUUAAAGUCUACAACGCGAAAUCUUGCUGCCUGCAAAGAAGAAGAAACCUCUGCAUUUGGUGAGGAUUUGGACAAAGGAGCUGGUACAGGAAUUUGUGUCAUGGUUGGAAGCGCCCCCCCCCCAGACACACACACACCCCCGCGCAGAAUGCUAAGCAUCUGCUCACGAUGAUCUUCUGUGAACCAGGAAGUAGCCUGCUAACAAACAAACCCGCACACACCACUCCCAUUUUGUUUUGGUUUUCAUUUUCGUUAACUGCCCUCUAUUGAGUAUCAUUGCAGUUAUAGGCUCAUUAUGGCCUUGUUAAAAUAACAAUUGAGUAGUUGUGAGUAGUUGUGCUUAAAACCAAAAUUAGUUUGCAUUGAAUUUGACCUCAGUGAUCUAGACAAUGCGACUGCUAGAUAGGGUUAAACCUUGUGCUUCCCCCCACCGAAGGACUUUGUUUGCUGCUUCGUCACAUUCGUAUUUGUAUGAAAGUAGCAAUUCAUGUUACUAUUUAGUUCAUUAGUGAACAAGCUGAGGUGCGAUGGAAGAGUUGCUGCCCAUCAGUCGAAUCAUUGCCGGCUUAGCCUCAGCCUUUCCUCAAUGAUUCUGAACCUUUAAUUCCUCUUUUUGGUCCAUCCUGUAGGUGGCAGCCAUAUUGUACCCGGCUAAGUUUGUACUUGCUCUGUCCCACAUACGUUGUCCAGUUAUUAAAGUUUCCACAGGUGA